GACGAACGCUGGCGGCGUGCUUAACACAUGCAAGUCGAACGGAAAGGCCCUGCUUUUGCGGGGUGCUCGAGCGGCGAACGGGUGAGUAACACGUGAGUAACCUGCCCUUGACUUUGGGAUAACUUCAGGAAACUGGGGCUAAUACCGGAUAGGAGCUCCUGCUGCAUGGUGGGGGUUGGAAAGUUUCGGCGGUUGGGGAUGGACUCGCGGCUUAUCAGCUUGUUGGUGGGGUAGUGGCUUACCAAGGCUUUGACGGGUAGCCGGCCUGAGAGGGUGACCGGCCACAUUGGGACUGAGAUACGGCCCAGACUCCUACGGGAGGCAGCAGUGGGGAAUAUUGCACAAUGGGCGGAAGCCUGAUGCAGCAACGCCGCGUGCGGGAUGACGGCCUUCGGGUUGUAAACCGCUUUCGCCUGUGACGAAGCGUGAGUGACGGUAAUGGGUAAAGAAGCACCGGCUAACUACGUG
rnacentral:rRNA from 1 species